CUACGGGUCGCACCAGUAAGGAAUAUUGCGCAAUGGAGGCAACUCUGGCGCAGCCAUGCCGCGUGCAGGAAGAAGGCCUUAUGGGUCGUAAACUGCUUUUAUUUAGGAAUAAACCCCCGAACGUGUUCGGGGCUGAAGGUACUAAACGAAUAAGCACCGGCUAACUCCGUGCCAGCAGCCGCGGUAAUACGGAGGGUGCAAGCGUUAUCCGGAUUUAUUGGGUUUAAAGGGUGCGCAGGCGGGCUAUUAAGUCAGUGGUGAAAUCCCGGGGCUCAACUCCGGAACUGCCAUUGAUACUGAUAGUCUUGAGUUUGGUUGAAGUGGGCGGAAUGUAGCAUGUAGCGGUGAAAUGCAUAGAUAUGCUACAGAACACCAAUCGCGAAGGCAGCUCACUAAGCCAAAACUGACGCUCAUGCACGAAAGCGUGGGGAUCAAACAGGAUUAGAUACCCUAGUAGUC
rnacentral:rRNA from 1 species